AUGGUUAUAUAUGUAUCUAUUUUCUUGAUUGAAUGGCAGAACAACUUUAACGUAUUCUUCCAUAUUUUCUUUCACCCAGACAAGCCAGAGGAGUGUGUGCCCGAAGGAGAGUGUGAGGAUCGUGGAAAGGGUUGUGACAAGGGAAAGGGAAAGGAUGGCGACUCUGAUGGAGUAAGAAACUGCCAUGGAAAGUCGGGUGAACGUGGGGGACACGGACACGGAAGGGGAGGAGGCCCGGACUGUGGAGAGCGUGGUGGAAAGGGUGGUCGUGGGGGAAAGAACAACUAAUGACUUUGUUUUGUCUGAAGUAAAAUAAUAUAUAUAUAUAUAUAUAUAUAUAUAUAUAUAUAUAUAUAUAUAUAUAUAUAUAUAUUAAAGAGACUAACCCUAAACAAGCGUAUCUCCAAUUGUAAUCCAUUGCUUCAUUGUAUUCAAUAAAACAAUUUGACCCAAAUCAACUGUCAUGUCUUCAAUUAUUCUUCAUCAUGAUAUUUACCAACUGUGUGACCUGGUCUAACCUGGUCAGAGGCAUGUGCUUAGCGCACGAAAAACCACACCCAUGUUGAGGGUGUGAAAACAAACAAAUUCAAC
ensembl:lncRNA